GCGGCCGACCUGGGUUCAAAUCCCAGCAUCCAAUAUGGUCCCCUGAACAUGGCCAGGGGUAAUUCCUGAGUGCAGAGCCAGGAGUAACCCCUGUGCAUUGCCAGGUGUGACCCAAAAAGCAAAAAAAAAAAAAAAAAAACAAGUUCAUGUGCUUCUUUGAACCUUAUGGAGUCUUACUUUCUGUACAUCUUCCUGUAGGGAAGCUGUAGAGCUCUGUAGGAGGAAAAAGAGGUGAAGGUGGCCACACUACUUCAAACUUCAUUUAAAAAAAAAAAUUGGGCUUAAGGAUGUGACACAUCGAAGAGUUCUAGUGUCAGGGUAACAGUGGUGGUCCCUUUCAACUAAUUUCAUUUCUAUGCCUCCACCUCUACUCCUAACAUUUCAAAUAAAAACAAAUUUUGAUGAUAAUCACAGGUAACUUAAUUAGCAUGUAGUAAAGCAUCACAUUGGAAGAGCAAGAAGACUCCAACCAGCCUGCUGUUUGAAUCUUUACUCCCUUAAUUACCUGUGUGCUUACCUAUUCUUUGCCUAUUUAUUCGGCUAUAAAAUGAAAGUGUACUAGUAGGUUGGAAGAUGGUAGGAGUGUUUAGUAGGGUUUUUGGCAUACAGCAAACACUAUAGAAGUGUCUACCACUGUACAGAUCAUAGUGCAUAUCUGAUCAUUUUUCUUGAAAAGUAACAUUUAACAUAAUGUUUACUGCUUAUGAUUUUAAGUCCACAUAUCAGCCAGUUAGCAAAGUUGUAAGGCAUCUUAAGUACAUAUUAGUAAAAAUUUAAAUUUUCUAUCUAAUUCUGUUCUUUAUGGGCAUUGGGUAGCUUAUUUUUUCAAAAUCACUCCUAUAGUUUUGUAAAAUGUGAGGUAUUUCGGGUCUGGGUCCUACCCAAGCCUAUUCAGUUCAACAUGUGACUGUUUUUAACAAAACACCACAGGUAGUUCUGAUGUGCAUCCCUGACUGAGAACCUUAGGUUAAAUAUAAAGCAAUCUGAUUUUUGAAAUGAAGGAAAAAUUCCUUAGUAAAUGACAGGUUUCUUAAGUCCAAUUAUGAAGAAAAGGCAUCAAACCAAAAUGCAUCUUUUUAUUAUAAUUCAUUUUUUUAAAUGCUCUUAAAAAGUCACAAUGGAAAGUGUGCAUGUGUACAAGUCUAACCAUUACAAUGCAGUUUUAAUGUUGGGCGGCUACCUUUAAUAUUGCAAGGGAAAAACAUGUAACAGGAGAAUCUGUUUUGUGAGUUGUGUUACGUUUAGUUGUAAUUAUAGAAGAUGAAAAACACCAUUCUCAAAAUUCAACCAAAAUAUUUUUUAAAGCUUUGGCACCUGCAUAUUAAGUAAAAUACUGAAAAGGGAAAAAAUUAAAACUAGUUAAGAUUUUUAUAGUUUUGAAAAUCCUUAGUUAAUUAUAUUAAGCAUAUUAUACUAUGAAGAAACCAGUUAGUAUAAAUGAUGAUUUACAAAUUCAACAGUAAAUGUAAACAUUUUUUAUAUCUAGGAUUUUUGAGUUGCAAGUUAAACUGAAUUUUAACUGCAGAGGAGAGGAAGAGCAUAGCAGGCAAAAUAACAGCCCUGUACUCACUUUAGCAAGAUGCAGUGAAUAUCUGGCCAGAGAAACAAAGAAUUCAGGCUUGGAGGAAACAGUUGACUCUAUAUCCUGGGAAAACUAGAGUUGAAGCCUGAGAUCUGCAGCUAGGCUAGUCUUUAAUAGAUGGUAAUUGUCAAUUUAUUCAUUGUUCAGAAGUAUGCAGGAAGGAGGAGUAAGUAUUCCUUUGGUUCUUUCGCCAAGUUUUCCCCUCCAACAACACUGUCAAAUUUAGUUGAUCCAGCUGUCGGAGUGUGAUGUUGCCAUUUUAGAAACAACUGACCUCUUAAACUUGUAUUCUUUACAUAAAUUUUUGGAGAUAGGGCUUUUGUUAUGUUUUCACAAUGCUAUCUAUGCCCUGGUUUGAAAAUCUAAAAUACCUCAAUUACUACUUUACCAAUAAAGAGCAAAUAUUUCUCCAUACCUGAGCUUGAGGAAAUAGGGGGAAGAAAACCAGAAAUUUUAAAUGAGUUGGCAAUACUUAAGCUGUAUUUAAACCAUUUCCUGUAAUAACUAUGCAGAAAGGUGAGACGGAACCUAGAAAUGAAGUUAGCCAGUAUACAUUUUGGUUUUCUUGUGGGUUUUGUUUUUGUUUGGCCACACCCCACUGUCCUCAGGGCUUACUCCUGGCUCUGCUCAGGAAUUAUCCCUGGUGGGACUUAGGGGACCAUCAUGUGCUGCCAGGGAUUGAACUCGGGUCAGCUGUGUACAAGCAAGCACUUAACUUGCUAUACUUUUUCUCUGUCCCAAUUAUUACUGGUUUCUUUUGUUUUUGCAGUGACAGGAAUCAAGCCCAGGGCCACACAUACAAGGCAAGUGCUCUACCACUUAGUCACAUCUCCAGCUCAUGGUGUAUAAUUUGAAUUACAUUGAAAAUUAAAAAGAAUAAGAUUGUUCCACAAGAAAAACUUACUUUCUUGUUAGAUCUGGUACAUAAGUCAAGGCUAUUUUUCCGCCAGCUCUGAACACCAUUACUAGAGUACUCAGUUGUCAUGUAGUGGUUAUUAUUUGUUACAUACAUAAAGGAGUGUUUUGGAAGGAUGGGGUAUUGGGUCACACUCAGCUGUGCUCAGUUUACUCAGGGAUAAUACUGGUGGUGCCCAGGAUUAAACCAGGAUCUGCCACCUGGAAGCAAGCAUCUUAGCCCUCUGGCCCUUGUUUUAGAACAGGUAAUCAGUUCAUCACCUUGUGAAGGCUUUUAAAGUUUCAAACGACUCAAAAUUGACUCUACAAAGUAGAGCCUGAAACUUUUUGAAAACGAGUAUUUAAAGAGUUUUUUCUGUUAAGACCCAGAAUUAGAAAAAUAAGAAACCAGAAGGUUGCAUUAAUCAGAGAAGUAUUUUUAAGCUUUCUUAAUUUUUUUGGUGCUACGAGUGCCUAGGUUCAAGAGGAGUUGGGUGAAUUCAGAUUUCGGUUUCAAUCCUUACAGCCUUUUAAAGAAAGAUAGGUAGUUACAUCAAGAAGACAAAGAUUUGCCUAGAGUUCUUAACAGGUGUUAGAACUAGGAUUUAAAUGGGAUCAAAGCCCUUGUUUUAUUGUCUGUGGAGUAUGGAAGGAUAAUUGGGGGAAGGCAGGCAGUUGGUUGCUUCUUGAUGUAAGAAACACACAAGAACCCUUCCAAGAGGCUCAACAGUCUUGGUAAUAAAUGACCCAGAAAACACUGUGGCCUUAGGUUAGGAUCUUUGCUAAAAUCCUUUCUGCCUUUUAAAAUUAUUUCACAAUAAUCAAAUGUUCAAUGGAGACUCAGGUAGCAACCUGCCAGAGUUAAUUAUAAUCUAAUUAGAAAUUAAGAAUGACGGUGACAUUCAGCUCUUUGGUAAUACACUGAAAUAGAAUUUUUCCAUAGCUGUGAGUUUAGCACUCAAGCAUUUUACAUACAGCAUACUAACUUGGAUUAGUUGGACCUCAACGUGGAGCUCCAGGCUUUUCCUUGUAACAAUAUAGCCAAAAGAACUCAAAAUUAUACAGAGAACAGAGAAUAACAAAUGGCUUUGUCUUACCUCAGGCAGUUAAGAUUAUCAAAUAUAUUAAACAAUCUGCAGCUGGAUUAUGUGGCAAUGGUUCAAACUGUCAUUGGUUCUAGAUGGCUGGUGUAUCAACGAAGACAUUUAGGAGAUCGUGGCCUCUCAAAAGUGAAUAUUUAAUUUUUCCUUCAAAUAGAAGGUAGUACAAAAAGCACUCGGGUAUUCAUUCACAAUUUUUAUUUCUUGCAAUUAACUUUUGUAUCUCCAAAGUUGAUUUGUCUUUUAAAAAAUUAAUACUUCUUAUUCAUCAUACAUUCCACCCCCUCCCCAAGGAAUACAAACCCAGGGUAGGUGUAAUUUAGGGGCAGUGGAAAUAAUGUCCUAUAGGUUCAUGACAAAGGCUUUCCAGCCGACCAUCCUGUACAUAACACAAAAUGGCAGCACCUCAAGUUCACCUGAAUGAAGUCCCAAAUUCCAGCCCUAGGCAAGUAAUGCAAGUGAACUCCAUGUGAAUAGCAAAAUGGAAGCUUUCCAUUUACUUUUCAUGGUAAUUAACAAAGUCUUCAAACCGUCUCAUUUGGGAGAGUGAAAAGCAAGUGUAUAGAGCAACAUUUUGACCCAGCCAAGAAUAAUAAACGAAACCAGAAAUAAUUUAUCUGGGCCACAGAAAUGAAUUUGUUUUAUGUUUUUCAUUAAGUCCCCAGCACCUGAAGUAGCAAGUUCUAAUAAUGGGCUUCUAAAGGCAUGCAGUUUUUCACACACAUCUACAAAGAAUUUCUUUCACUCAAACAUAGCACAAUCAAGGAUAAAAUAUUUUUGGAGGCACAAGAAGAGCACAAGAAAGAACAAGUAAGUAUAUGCUUGAGGCAUUGUGUAUGAUGAAGAUGGUAUACUUCAUAUAUAGAAGCAGUGAAAGCUGUUAAAGUGCUACAUAAAGCUGUUAAAGUCUAACACACAACUCAACUGCACUGCUAAAUAUGGUUGUCUUUAUUUUCUUUUUCCUUGCCCAGCCCUAUCUAAACAAAAUGAAACUACAGGACUGAAAUUAACAACCCAUUAAAAUCAGCAAUAAGUUAUGAAAAUCAUAAAGCUUUUUUAAAAAAGUAAUUAAAGGGUAGUUAAAUUAAAGUAUACAAAGUCCAAAGAGCCAAGAAGAAGGUCUCCAAAAAGUCUUCCUGGGUUAAGGGACAAGGGCCAUGGGGGAACCUUAGAGUUUGAGAGACAAAGGGAACACAGGACAUUAAAGUGCAGGCUAGAAAUUUCACUUAACGUUUCUGAAAAUAUUGAUAAGAGCAACAAUAGCACCUGCACGGUGGAAUUGGUUUGUAAGGGCGGAGGGAAA